CAUAUACUCCCUCUGUCCAAAAAUACUUGUCAUCAAAAUGGACAAAAAGGGAUGUAUCUAGAACUAAAAUACAUCUAGAUACAUCCCAUUUUAUUUAUUUUUAUGACAAUUAUUUCCGAAUGGAGGGAGUAGUAU
rfam:Triticum aestivum genome assembly, contig: Triticum_aestivum_CS42_TGACv1_scaffold_592606_7BS